rnacentral:rRNA from 1 species
UACGAAGGGGGCUAGCGUUGUUCGGAAUUACUGGGCGUAAAGGGCGCGUAGGCGGCCUGUUAAGUCGAACGUGAAAUCCCCGGGCUCAACCCGGGAACUGCGUCCGAUACUGGCAGGCUUGAAUCCGGGAGAGGGAUGUGGAAUUCCAGGUGUAGCGGUGAAAUGCGUAGAUAUCUGGAGGAACACCGGUGGCGAAGGCGACAUCCUGGACCGGUAUUGACGCUGAGGCGCGAAAGCCAGGGGAGCAAACGGG